CCCUGGUUAGCUCAGUUGGUAGAGCGCUCCACCUGUAAUGGAGAGGUCCCAGGUUCAAUACCCGGACCAGGCG
rnacentral:tRNA from 2 species